rnacentral:rRNA from 1 species
UACGAGGGGGGCGAGCGUUGUUCGGAAUUAUUGGGCGUAAAGGGCGCGUAGGCGGUCGGAUAAGUCUUGUGUGAAAUCUUCGGGCUCGACUCGAAGUCUGCACAGGAAACUAUCUGGCUUGAGUGUGGGAGAGGUGAGUGGAAUUCCUGGUGUAGCGGUGAAAUGCGUAGAUAUCAGGAGGAACACCUGUGGCGAAAGCGGCUCACUGGACCACAACUGACGCUGAGGCGCGAAAGCUAGGGGAGCAAACAGG